rnacentral:rRNA from 1 species
UACGAAGGGUGCAAACGUUGCUCGGAAUUAUUGGGCGUAAAGCGCACGUAGGCGGCUCCAAAAGUCGGAUGUGAAAUCCCUCGGCUCAACCAAGGAAGUGCACCCGAAACUGCGGAGCUCGAGUAUGGAAGAGGGUCGCGGAAUUCCCGGUGUAGAGGUGAAAUUCGUAGAUAUCGGGAGGAACACCAGUGGCGAAGGCGGCGACCUGGGCCAAUACUGACGCUGAGGUGCGAAAGCGUGGGGAGCAAACAGG